UACGUAGGGGGCAAGCGUUGUCCGGAUUUAUUGGGCGUAAAGAGCGUGUAGGCGGUUUGGUAGGUCCGUUGUGAAAACUCGAGGCUCAACCUCGAGACGCCGAUGGAAACCAUCAGACUAGAGUCCGGAAGAGGAGAGUGGAAUUCCUGGUGUAGCGGUGAAAUGCGCAGAUAUCAGGAGGAACACCGGUGGCGAAGGCGGGUCUCUGGGCCGAUAUUGACGCUGAGGAGCGAAAGCGUGGGGAGCAAACAGG
rnacentral:rRNA from 1 species